UACGGGGGGGGCAAGCGUUGUUCGGAAUUACUGGGCGUAAAGGUUUGUAAGUGGCUUGUUAAGUCAGACGUGAAAUCCCUCAGCUUAACUGGGGAACUGCGUCUGAUACUGGUGAGCUUGAGUGCAGGAGAGGAACGCGGAAUUCCAGGUGUAGCGGUGAAAUGCGUAGAUAUCUGGAGGAACACCGGUGGCGAAGGCGGCGUUCUGGACUGCAACUGACACUGAGAAACGAAAGCCAGGGUAGCAAACGGG
rnacentral:rRNA from 1 species